rnacentral:rRNA from 1 species
UACUAGAGUAGCACUUGCAUAUCAAUAAGCGGAGGAAAAGAAACUAACAAGGAUUCCCCUAGUAACGGCGAGUGAAGCGGGAAGAGCUCAAAUUUGAAAUCUUAAAGGGUUUCCCUUUACGAAUUGUAGUUUAAAGAAGUGUUUUCUGUUGAGGUUUUGGUAAAAGUUCUUUGGAAUAGGACAUCAUAGAGGGUGAGAAUCCCGUAUUUGACCUUUACUUUCAACUUUGUGAUACACUUUCAAAGAGUCGGAUUGUUUGGGAAUGCAGUCCAAAAUGGGUGGUAAAUUUCAUCUAAAGCUAAAUAUUGGCGAGAGACCGAUAGCGAACAAGUACCGUGAGGGAAAGAUGAAAAGAACUUUGAAAAGAGAGUUAAACAGUACGUGAAAUUGUCAAAAGGGAAGCGUUUGACACCAGUGUUGUUUUUCUGAAAAUCAAUUAAAGAACUGUUUAUGCUAAGUUGUUUAGACUUUAUCAGCUAUCUGCUUAGUUUUGAGCUUUUCUUUAAUGCACUUUUCAGUUAACAAGUCAACAUCAAUUUCUUUUGCUGUAAAAAAGCUUGAGGAAGGUGGCUUGAGAUUCGUCUUAAGUGUUUAUAGCCUCUUGCCUAUGCAGUCGGAGAGAUUGAGGUCUGCAGCGUAGAUCCUUCGGGGCUAAAUGCAUUUGUGCUAAGUUAUAGCAUUUUAUAGACAACUUGUUGACUAUGAUUUGUCUUGUAGCUUACUCGCUUAUGUUAUUUUACCUACGCUUAGGAUGUUGAACUCUAUCACACACAG